rnacentral:lncRNA from 1 species
GGACAGCUAAGCAUUAUUUAAGAUCAGAGGGAGAGAGAUGCUUAUUAGUGAGAGACGAAUAUUCACUCGAAUAGAUUUCAGAUACCAUCAUAUUUACUUAUCUCUCUGUCCUUUUUUUUUCUUUUUUUUUUGAUUUGGCAUUUAUAAAGCAAAAUAACAUAUAUACAUAUAAAUAAGGAGGUUGUGUUGGCGUAUUGAUUUGAGUUUAGUUUAUACGGAUCUACAAGUAAGUAAGCCAGAUAUAAUUCGAAGUAAUAAUCAAAACGAUAGUAUAUGAUACGUAACGAAAAACUAUUUGUUCUAUUGACCGACAUUAAUAACAAAGUCA